GUAGUCUGCAACCCGACUACAUGAAGCUGGAAUCGCUAGUAAUCGCGGAUCAGAAUGCCGCGGUGAAUACGUUCCCGGGUCUUGUACACACCGCCCGUCACACCAUGGGAGCCGGGAAUGCCCGAAGUCGGUGACCUAACCGGAAGGGAGGAGCCGCCGAAGGCAGGUCUGGUGACUGGGGUGAAGUCGUAACAAGGUAUC
rnacentral:rRNA from 1 species